rnacentral:rRNA from 1 species
GACGAACGCUGGCGGCGUGCUUAACACAUGCAAGUCGAACGGAAAGGCCUGCUUUCCCUUGUGGAUUGCGGGUACUCGAGUGGCGAACGGGUGAGUAACACGUGAGUGAUCUGCCCCCAACUUGGGUAUAAGCCUGGGAAACUGGGUCUAAUUCCCGAUAGGACUGCAGGGUGGUGCCUGUGGUGGAAAACGAUUUUCUAGUGGUUGGGGAUGAGCUCGCGGCCUAGCAGCUUGUUGGUGGGGUAAUGGCCUACCAAGGCGGCGACGGGUAGCCGGCCUGAGAGGGUGGACGGCCACAUUGGGACUGAGAUACGGCCCAGACUCCUACGGGAGGCAGCAGUGGGGAAUAUUGCACAAUGGGCGGAAGCCUGAUGCAGCGACGCCGCGUGGGGGAUGACGGCCUUCGGGUUGUAAACUCCUUUCGACCGCGAGGAAGCCACCUGGUUGGAAGGGUGGUGACGGUAGUGGUAGAAGAAGCACCGGCUAACUACGUG